rnacentral:sRNA from 1 species
CAAGUACUUGUACUUGCUUUUCGGCAGUACAUAUAUUAAAAUUGGAACGAUACAGAGAAGAUUAGCAUGGCCCCUGCGCAAGGAUGACACGCAAAUUCGUGAAGCGUUCCAUAUUUUUCUUUUAUUCAAAAAAAAAAAAAAAAAAAACAAAACAAAACAUUAAAAAAAACAACAAAAAAAAAACGCCCCACACCCGCCCGAACAGGCUGGUCCUGGUUUUACACAGUGCUAUUUUAGAUAACGAUGCUACUGACAAGAUACAUGUGUAAGUUUAGAUUUUGAACGGAUAUGCGCUUUUUAGGGAAUUAUUUGUCCAUGAAAUGCUGUAUUUACUUCAAGCAAAAUGUAUGGUCUUUCUCCUAAUACAUAUCUACAUGUACGCGGCGAAACGUUUGUCAUACGUUGUGUUAAGAAAAAUCGGACGGGGCGUAUUCAGACUUGACAGGGAGUGUGUGAGCUGUUAAAUUGUUGCAGAGAUGUGAGAAAAUGUUGUAAACUAUGUAAUUGUGUAGACAAAAUGUAUUAUUUGGGAUGAUUUGUGUUUGAAAUUUGCUGUUGCGGUACAUGCAGUUCACUAAACACUUCUUUUUAUUACAACUUCGUAGCUUGAAAUUCUUCUUUGGCCGCAUUCAAAUCAUACUUACCUGGUGCAGAGGGCACCCUGAUCAUCAAGGGGGUCCCUCCAGGGCGAGGCCAUUCCAUUGCACUCCGGAUAGGCUGAACCCUGCGAUCGCCCCAAAUGCGGGCGACUCGGGCACGUAAUUUUUUAGUGUGGGGGUCUGCGUUCGCGCUAACCCCUGGUAUAAAAUUCAAUAUGAAAGAACACACACAAUUUGACACCUUAUGGAAAUUUAUAUCAUCGAAUCUUAAAAGCAAGUCACCGCAAACAGCUUAGAUUAGUGUGGAAGAAAUUAAUUCAGUAAAUAUGUAUAAUUAUUUAUUUUUACAUGUAACUACACGGGACAUCAGUGUAUCCACUUUAUUUUUUGAUAAUAGCGUUGGUUACUUGGUUAAUGUGUGUGCUAAUAUUAGUUUUUUUAAUUUAGGUGUAAACAUUACUGUUUCACUGACAGGCAAAUUUUUUUCGAGAGAUCAGCGCCAGUUCGCGAUAUUUUCACAAGCUUUGUGCAAAGGAAAAGAAGGAGUUGCAUCCCUUUGACUGUGGACCCGUGUGUAUGCGUAUAUUUCAUUGUGACGUCGAGCUCGUGACAACAAAGUUUGAAAAUUGUCAUCCAGUCGCGAAAGAGAUGUGAUUUUGUGUGAAACAGCAUAUACACCCAGCUUCGAUUUAGCUUAACGGGAAAUGGAAUAUGCUAGUAAGUGACCGCUUUUCGGACAUACACUGGGCCCAUUCUAUUGGAUUGUAUUAAGUUUCUAGGAUCAAACGCGGUAAGAUUAAUGUAAAUGUAUUUCAGUAUUUAAAACAGUGCAAUAAUUUCUCAGUCAGCAUGCAUCUGUAUACCUAGUUUAUUCAAAUUGAACCAUUCAUCUUCACGUAUAGUCAAGUAACGCGCAUUGCACUAUGUGUGAAUGUACAAUGCUGGGCGUGUCUAGGGUAGAUAGGGAGGGUGGGGUUGCAAUUAUUAAUAUGGGGCUUGGGAGGAAAACUUGCAUACCAGAAGAAAGAGAAUUAUAAAUGUGCCAUCGAACUGACAUUUCACUUCAUGAGGUCAUUGGGAUUGAUUUUUUGUAAUCAAUCGCUAAAACGGAGGUCAAAUAUUGAAUGCCACCCCCAUCCGCCACCGCCGUCCCUCUUUUUAUACCGCUGGUACUUACUUUUACUAAUCAUAUUCUAUUACUAUACCACCGGUACAGAGACCACAGUUGUCGUCCCUGUUACGUUAUAUAUACGUAAUCAUGGUGUUUACAGUAUGUAGAUAUUUGAACGCGCUGUUUCAGUAUACUAUUCAAAGCUUAGUACUUAUUCCCGCGGGACGGUACAAGUACUUGUACUUGCUUUUCGGCAGUACAUAUAUUAAAAUUGGAACGAUACAGAGAAGAUUAGCAUGGCCCCUGCGCAAGGAUGACACGCAAAUUCGUGAAGCGUUCCAUAUUUUUCUUUUAUUCAAAAAAAAAAAAAAA